rnacentral:rRNA from 1 species
UGAGGAAUAUUGGGCAAUGCCCGCAAGGGUGACCCAGCAACGCCGCGUGGAGGAUGAAUGUCGUAAGAUUGUAAACUCCUGUUAGAGGGGAAGAAUAGUACCGGUUGGACCGGUAUAUGACUGUACCCUCAGAGAAAGCCCCGGCUACUACGUGCCAGCAGCCGCGGUAAUACGUAGGGGGCAAGCGUUGUCCGGAUUUACUGGGUGUAAAGGGCGCGCAGGCGGGAUAAAAAGUCAGUGGUGAGAUCCUACAGCUUAACUGUAGAACUGCCUUUGAUACUUUUAUUCUUGAGUUCGGGAGAGAGAGACGGAAUUCCAGGUGUAGUGGUGAAAUACGUAGAUAUCUGGAAGAACACCAGUUGCGAAGGCGGUCUCUUGGUCCGACACUGACGCUGAGGCGCGAAAGCGUGGGGAGCAAACA